GAUGAACGCUGGCGGCGUGCCUAAUACAUGCAAGUCGAGCGAACAGAUAAGGAGCUUGCUCCUUUGACGUUAGCGGCGGACGGGUGAGUAACACGUGGGUAACCUACCUAUAAGACUGGGAUAACUUCGGGAAACCGGAGCUAAUACCGGAUAAUAUUUCGAACCGCAUGGUUCGAUAGUGAAAGAUGGUUUUGCUAUCACUUAUAGACGGACCCGCGCCGUAUUAGCUAGUUGGUAAGGUAAGGGCUUACCAAGGCGACGAUACGGAGCCGACCUGAGAGGGUGAUCGGCCACACUGGAACUGGGACACUGUCCAGACUCCUACGGGAGGCAGCCGUAGGGAAUCUUCCUCAAUGGGCGAAAGCCUGACGGAGCAACGCCGCGUGAGUGAUGAAGGUCUUCGGAUCGUAAAACUCUGUUAUUAGGGAAGAACAUACGUGUAAGUAACUGUGCACGUCUUGACGUUACCUAAUCAGAAAGCCACGGCUAACUACGUG
rnacentral:rRNA from 1 species